AUUGAACGCUGGCGGCAUGCCUUACACAUGCAAGUCGAACGGCAGCGGGGGAGAAGCUUGCUUUUCCUGCUGGCGAGUGGCGAACGGGUGAGUAAUACAUCGGAACGUGCCCUGUAGUGGGGGAUAACUAGUCGAAAGAUUAGCUAAUACCGCAUACGACCUGAGGGUGAAAGUGGGGGACCGCAAGGCCUCAUGCUAUAGGAGCGACCGAUGUCUGAUUAGCUAGUUGGGGGGGUAAAGGCCUACCAAGGCGACGAUCAGUAGCUGGUCUGAGAGGACGAUCAGCCACACUGGGACUGAGACACGGCCCAGACUCCUACGGGAGGCAGCAGUGGGGAAUUUUGGACAAUGGGCGAAAGCCUGAUCCAGCAAUGCCGCGUGUGUGAAGAAGGCCUUCGGGUUGUAAAGCACUUUUGUCCGGAAAGAAAUGGCUCUGGUUAAUACCUGGGGUCGAUGACGGUACCGGAAGAAUAAGGACCGGCUAACUACGUGCCAGCCGCCGCCGUAA
rnacentral:rRNA from 1 species